UCCAGCGUAGCUCAGCUGGUAGAGCGCCUGACUGUUAAUCAGGUGGUCGCAGGUUCGAGUCCUGCCCGGGGAG
rnacentral:tRNA from 1 species